UCUGCCUGUUUCUUUCUGUCUCUGUCUCUCUGUCUCUCUCUCAUACACACACACACACAGAGAGAGACAAAGAGAGAGAGAGGGACAGAGAGAGACACACACAGAGAGACACAGAGAGAGAGAGGGACACACAGAGAGAAGCACAGAAUGGGGAUAGGAGUGUGGGAUGGAGGAACAAGGAGGAAAGCCCAAUACGACUGAAGGAGAACAGGGAAGAAGGAUGGGCUAAGGGAGGAAAAGGGAAAGAAGAAAGGCAAGCAUAUGUAAAUGGUGUGUGGAUGUUCUGGGGCUCCCCAAAACCAUGGAGAGAGCUCCAAACUCCAAGGCAGUGUCUGAUUGCAGGAAAUGGAGGCUAGGUAUAGAUGAGGGUUCAAAAAGUAACAUGAAUCCAGGGACCCUGUUGUGCCCAUAGCUACCUGGGCUGACUCUGCUUCUCUACGGUGGUAGGAGGAUAUGUGGUAGGAGGAACCAUUAGCAGGUUGCCCACAUAUCUUCACCAACACAGCUCACUACUAUCAGAGAUCUCCUCCUCACUCUGAAAAACAUGGCUUCCAUAGGAAAUCCAAGUGUGCACUUUAUGUGUGAGGUGUGUGUUGGGUUGCAGCUGUAGUAGUCACAGGUGUAACAGAAGAUAAAAAGUUACAACUCAUAGAGGUACCCGGGGUCCUUUAGAUAAAGAAAACAAACAUAUACUCAGAAACCGUGUGGGAACAGAGUGGGGAGAAGUGUUAGGUUACAACAGAUCAGGAAUUCCUACUGAGUGAUGGACAAGUCCAAGGAGAUCCUUAUGGGUUGGUAUUCAGGUCUCAAGAAGCAGAGAGUAGCUGAGGUGCAGCAUUUUUCUUAUGACAUAUUACCCUCUCAAGAUAAGGAUCAUACACAAUCUGUUAUUUCAGCAGACAUUUAUUAGGGGUGUUCUCAGCUGAGCCACGAGCAAGCUGUGAAAGACGGCCUAUGUGUAUAAUCUCUAUGCCUUCAUGGUGCCAUACCCAUGAGUGGAGAGUCUCAGUCCAGUGAAAUUGAGAACCCUUUGUGGUCUUCGGCAUGAAGGCCAUUCCUAUGACUCACUCUGGGAGAUCCACCUCUGGCCUGCAGUACCUACGGUAGUAGGUUGUCACCAGGAUGCCUGGUGGCAGCUUCUUCCUCUCUCUACACUGAUCAGGGCUCACCAGUAUGAUACUUUAAACAUGAGAUGAACAAGGGCAGAAUAUAUGGUAAACUGAACAGAGACAGCCCAUGAGGCCUUAGCCCUACACAAGAGACUACGGGCAACUAUAGAAUGCUGAGAGUGGAAGUAAUACCUGGUGCAGUGAAGAGCACACAGAUUGGUUGUCUGGCCAUAACCCCCCUAUCCCAUCCCACUCCCCUUCUUCUAUAAGGGUGUUCACCCUACCCCUCACCACCUACACACCCCGACAUUCCACUACACUGCAGUGUCCA